GAUGAACGCUAGCGAUAUGCUUAACACAUGCAAGUCGAGGGGUAGCAUGGUCUUAGCUUGCUAAGGCUGAUUGCGACGGGCGCACGGGUGCGUAACGCGUAUGCAACGUGCCUCUCAGAAGGGGAUAACGCUUCGAAAUGCGGACUGAUACCACGUACACUCUAUGUUUUGUAUCCAAUGGAGAGGGAAUGAAAUUCGCUGUGAGAUAGGCAUGCGUGCAAUUAGCUAGUUGGUGAGGUAACGGCUCACCAAAGCGACGAUGGGUAGGGGAACUGAGAGGUUGACCCACCAGACUUGUAAUGAGGCACGGACCAGACUGCUAUGCGAGGCAGCGGUGAGGAAGAUUAGUGAAUGGGCGAGAGCCUGAACCAGCCACGUCGCGUGAAGGAUGACUGUCUUAUGGAUUGUAAGCUUCUUUUAUACGGGAAUAACAAGAGUAACGGGUCGCUCCCUGACUGUACCGUAUGAAUAAGCAACGGCUAACUACGUG
rnacentral:rRNA from 1 species